rnacentral:rRNA from 1 species
UGUCUCAGGACGAACGCUGGCGGCGUGCCUAAUACAUGCAAGUCGAACGCUUCUUUUUCCACCGGAGCUUGCUCCACCGGAAAAAGAGGAGUGGCGAACGGGUGAGUAACACGUGGGUAACCUGCCCAUCAGAAGGGGAUAACACUUGGAAACAGGUGCUAAUACCGUAUAACAAUCAAAACCGCAUGGUUUUGAUUUGAAAGGCGCUUUCGGGUGUCGCUGAUGGAUGGACCCGCGGUGCAUUAGCUAGUUGGUGAGGUAACGGCUCACCAAGGCCACGAUGCAUAGCCGACCUGAGAGGGUGAUCGGCCACAUUGGGACUGAGACACGGCCCAAACUCCUACGGGAGGCAGCAGUAGGGAAUCUUCGGCAAUGGACGAAAGUCUGACCGAGCAACGCCGCGUGAGUGAAGAAGGUUUUCGGAUCGUAAAACUCUGUUGUUAGAGAAGAACAAGGAUGAGAGUAACUGUUCAUCCCUGACGGUUCUA